CACCACACAGAUGACCCCAUCAAGAUUUGAUCCCUGCUGUACUGCAUACUGCUCAGACAGAGGAAGAAGCUGCCCUUGCUCUGAAGGAUUAAUAGUCUAACUCUUCUGCCUUAGUGCUGCCUCUCAGCUUUGAUGCAUUGAGAAUCAUUACAGGUUGCAGUGAUGACUGCACAGCAGGUUGUGUCCUUCCAAACACAGUGUCUGUGCUUAUGGGGCACCUGUAAGAAGACUCAGAGGAUGGCUGAGGAUGGAGGCCAAGAGAUAGCAGAAGUGCAUCAGAAAGAUCAAAAAAGAACUCAUCUUUUCAACUGGCCUGCACGUCUGCUUGCGAAGGCACACACGUCACUCCUGAUAUCCCCAGAGCACUUUGCGUGA
rnacentral:lncRNA from 1 species